GAUGAAGAACCAGCGAAAUGCGAUAAGUAAUGUGAAUUGCAGAAUUCAGUGAAUCAUCGAAUCUUUGAACGCACAUUGCGCCCGCCAGUAUUCUGGCGGGCAUGCCUGUCCGAGCGUCAUUUCAACCCUCGAACCCCUCCGGGGGGUCGGCGUUGGGGACCUCGGGAGCCCCUAAGACGGGAUCCCGGCCCCGAAAUACAGUGGCGGUCUCGCCGCAGCCUCUCCUGCGCAGUAGUUUGCACAACUCGCACCGGGAGCGCGGCGCGUCCACGUCCGUAAAACACCCAACUUCUGAAAUGUUGACCUCGGAUCAGGUAGGAAUACCCGCUGAACUUAAGCAUAUCAAUAAGCGGAGGA
rnacentral:misc_RNA from 1 species